rnacentral:rRNA from 1 species
UGGGGAAUAUUGCACAAUGGGGGAAACCCUGAUGCAGCAACGCCGCGUGAAGGAUGACGGUUUUCGGAUUGUAAACUUCUGUUCUCGUUGACGAAGACAGUGACGGUAAACGAGGAGCAAGCCACGGCUAACUACGUGCCAGCAGCCGCGGUGAUACGUAGGUGGCAAGCGUUGUCCGGAAUUACUGGGUGUAAAGGGAGCGCAGGCGGGAGAGCAAGUCAGCUGUGAAAACCACGGGCUUAACCUGUGGACUGCAGUUGAAACUGUUCUUCUUGAGUGAAGUAGAGGUAAGCGGAAUUCCGAGUGUAGCGGUGAAAUGCGUAGAGAUUCGGAGGAACACCAGUGGCGAAGGCGGCUUACUGGGCUUUAACUGACGCUGAGGCUCGAAAGUGUGGGGAGCAAACA